rnacentral:lncRNA from 1 species
AAUGGAGAUCAAGCCCUACCUAUAAAAGAGUUAGGCAAAUGCAAAGACAUAUUUUUUUGGUAUUUUGAUUAGUAAAAUGAAAAUAUACAAGUAUGAUACAAUCACAUAGUGCUUGGUGAUCUCUCCCAAAACAAACCCAAUGAAGGAGGGGGAAGGAGGAUGCCAAGGUAUGAUCCCAAUGCUAAUGCUUAUGAUGAAAUUGCAUGAGGGAUCUUAGGGUCAAAAUUAGGGUCUUACAUACCCCAUGGCCCCAAGGUCAGAGGUUCAACCCCUAGCACCCCCAUUUUA